GUUGGCCGAACAUUACUCCUCCCUCCUACUUCAAGCUGCCAUGUACACACAGUACCAUCUGAUGCAGCAGAGACAAAUCUGUGACCACAAUGAUCAAACUUCACGGCAGAUACUGAGGCAAGAGCAUAUGGGGGAGGGACAUUUGCAGCGGGAAGCACUCCAUAUGUAGCAGUAGCCCUAUCUUUGCCAAACUCCCAUAAAUAUAUGUGUGUAUUGCUUGAUCCAACCAAGAAAAAAGGCCUUGAAGGGUGAGCUGAGAAUGCCCUUGUACGAACAUUUUCUGUUGUUGCAGGAGGGUCAAGAAAAUCAUCAAAAUCCUCUUGAACCCCCCAGCCAAGACUGGAUCCACCCAUAUUGGAAUAACCUGGAAGCCCAAAUGUAGGUCUUGCCAAAAAACCUGUCCCAACAGUUGCUCCACCUAACCCGAGGUGUGUACCCUUCUUACUCCCCAGACCCACUCCAGGCGAGACACAAGUGGGAAUUGGUGUAGACUCAGAUCCUGCCCAACCAUUAUGUGGCCAGUCAGCCUCGGCCCAGACAUUGUCAGCUUUAUUUCCACAAGGAAGUCCGUCUUCCCGUUUGAAGAAUAAUAAACCCUUCCGAUUGCUAGCAAGAGCAGCUUCAUGUUGAUCAAUGGAGUUGAUGCACAAAGCCUCCAAAAGUUCUCCAUUUCUUUUAUAUAUCUCUAUCGGACUACGGAAUGGCAAAACCUUCUUUGUAUGGUGAGUAUCCUUUCCGCCAAAACUUUGAAAAGGAUGAUUAUUUGGCGACAAACAAGCAAGAGGAGAUCCAGCUGCGCUACUGGGACUACCAAGCCUUUCUUCUCUGUCAAAAGUUUCAUCAACUUCACACUCUCUGACAAUGCUGGGGUACAUUUCACUCCAUCCUUUAAAGGACUUAUGCAAGGUAUGCUGUAAACAU
rnacentral:misc_RNA from 1 species